GGCGGUGUGUCCGAGUGGUUAAGGAGACGGACUCGAAAUCCGUUAGGCUUUGCCUGCGCAGGUUCGAAUCCUGCCGCCGUCG